rnacentral:rRNA from 1 species
GGGUCAGUAGGUUGGUCGUGCCACCGGUACGUACUGGUCUCACUGAUUCCUCCUUCCUGAAGAACCGUAAUGCCAUUAAUUUGGUGUUGCGGGGAAACAGGACUGUUACUUCGAAAAAAUUAGAGUGUUUAAAGCAAGCUAACGCUUGAAUACAUUAGCAUGGAAUAAAGAAAUAGGACGAUCGAUCCUAUUUUGUUGGUUUCUAGGAUUGACGUA